rnacentral:tRNA from 1 species
UCUGAAAUAGCUCAGUUGGUAGCGCGUGAGACUAUAAUUUGAAAGGUCCUUAGUUCGAUCCCCGGUUCCGGCA